AUCACCUGCACCUGCUUCAGCCGGGAUGGGCAGUGCACCCUGGUGUCCAGCCUGGAUUCCACACUGAGGCUUCUAGACAAAGACACGGGCGAACUGCUAGGCGAGUACACAGGCCAUAAGAACCAGGAGUACAAGCUGGACUGCUGCCUGAGUGAACGUGACACACACGUGGUCAGCUGCUCCGAGGAUGGGAAGGUGUUCUUCUGGGACCUAGUAGAGGGUGCCCUGGCACUGGCCCUGCCUGUGGGUCGUGGAGUGGUACAGUCGCUGGCCUAUCACCCCACAGAGCCCUGCCUGCUGACCGCCAUGGGGGGCAGCAUCCACUGCUGGAGAGAAGAGGCCUAUGAGGCAGAGGGUGGAGCAAGCUGAAGCCAGAGGACCCACUGCCAGGACCGAGGACCCAGGCGCAGACUCAAAAGAACCACU